GACGAACGCUGGCGGCGUGCUUAACACAUGCAAGUCGAACGGAAAGGCCCUGCUUUUGUGGGGUGCUCGAGUGGCGAACGGGUGAGUAACACGUGAGUAACCUGCCCUUGACUUUGGGAUAACUUCAGGAAACUGGGGCUAAUACCGGAUAGGAGCUCCUGCUGCAUGGUGGGGGUUGGAAAGUUUCGGCGGUUGGGGAUGGACUCGCGGCUUAUCAGCUUGUUGGUGGGGUAGUGGCUUACCAAGGCUUUGACGGGUAGCCGGCCUGAGAGGGUGACCGGCCACAUUGGGACUGAGAUACGGCCCAGACUCCUACGGGAGGCAGCAGUGGGGAAUAUUGCACAAUGGGCGGAAGCAUGAUGCAGAAACGCCGCGUGCGGGAUGACGGCCUUCGGGUUGUAAACCGCUUUCGCCUGUGACGAAGCGUGAGUGACGGUAAUGGGUAAAGAAGCACCGGCUAACUACGUG
rnacentral:rRNA from 1 species